UACGUAGGGGGCAAGCGUUGUCCGGAUUCAUUGGGCGUAAAGAGCGUGUAGGCGGCCAGGUAGGUCGGUUGUGAAAACUGGAGGCUCAACCUUUAGAGGUCGACCGAAACCAUCUGGCUAGAGUCCGGGAGAGGAGAGUGGAAUUCCUGGUGUAGCGGUGAAAUGCGCAGAUAUCAGGAAGAACACCCGUGGCGAAAGCGGCUCUCUGGAACGGUACUGACGCUGAGACGCAAAAGCGUGGGGAGCGAACAGG
rnacentral:rRNA from 1 species